rnacentral:lncRNA from 1 species
AUGGCCUUAUGGUGUGAGAAGGAGCAUGAGUCAAAUAACUCUUCUCCUGGAACUCCAUUUAUUGGUCCAACUCAACUGAUGUUGUCAGUCUGCAAAGCCAAGAAAAGUGAGGGUGACAAGAUGUUAUGCCAGCUCACUGAGACAUGGUGCUGACAUGGUGUAUGGACACCUUUUAAGGCAUUGUCUGUACAGGUGGGCUUAUUGAAGCAUGUGAUGUGUCUGAAGAAUGAGAAUAUUUGACUGCAUACCAAUGCUUUCAUGACCACAACUACCAAAAUAUGCUUCAUGUCUUAAUUAUGUAUAAAGCAAACAAUGAAAUAA